CUUAAAAUGAAUUGACGGGGCCCGCACAAGCGGUGGAGCAUGUGGUUAAUUCAAAGCAACGCGAAGAACCUUACCAGGUCUUGACAUCCCCUGACAACCCGAGAGAUCGGGCGUUCACCUCGGGUGACAGGGAGACAGGUGGUGCAUGGUUGUCGUCAGCUCGUGUCGUGAGAUGUUGGGUUAAGUCCCGCAACGAGCGCAACCCCUACGUUUAGUUGCUAACGCGUGAAGGCGAGCACUCUAGACGAACUGCCGUUGACAAAACGGAGGAAGUGGGGAUGACGUCAAAUCAUCAUGCCCCUUAUGUUCUGGGCUACACACGUGCUACAAUGGCCGGUACAGACGGACGCAAAGCCGCGAGGCGGAGCAAAUCCGAAAAAGCCGGUCUCAGUUCGGAUUGCAGGCUGCAAUUCGCCUGCAUGAAGUCGGAAUCGCUAGUAAUCGCAGGUCAGCAUACUGCGGUGAAUACGUUCCCGGGCCUU
rnacentral:rRNA from 1 species